rnacentral:rRNA from 1 species
GCCUACGGGGCGCAGCAGUGGGGAAUAUUGGGCAAUGGGCGCAAGCCUGACCCAGCAACGCCGCGUGAAGGAAGAAGGCUUUCGGGUUGUAAACUUCUUUUAAGAGGGAAGAGAAGAAGACGGUACCUCUUGAAUAAGCCACGGCUAACUACGUGCCAGCAGCCGCGGUAAUACGUAGGUGGCAAGCGUUGUCCGGAAUUACUGGGUGUAAAGGGAGCGUAGGCGGGGAUGCAAGUUGGGUGUCAAAACUACCGGCUCAACUGAUAGUCGCACUCA